rnacentral:tRNA from 1 species
GGCCCCGUAGCUCAGCCAGGAGGAGCGCGGGCCUUCGGAGCCCGUGGUCCCGGGUUCAAAUUUCGAUGGGCUCGCCA